rnacentral:rRNA from 1 species
AGUAAAGUGGUUAGGCCUACCCAUGCAGUCGAACGGCAGCACAGGAGAGCUUGCUCUCUGGGUGGCGAGUGGCGGACGGGUGAGGAAUACAUCGGAAUCUACCUUUUCGUGGGGGAUAACGUAGGGAAACUUACGCUAAUACCGCAUACGACCUACGGGUGAAAGUGGGGGACCGCAAGGCCUCACGCGAUUAGAUGAGCCGAUGUCCGAUUAGCUAGUUGGCGGGGUAAUGGCCCACCAAGGCGACGAUCGGUAGCUGGUCUGAGAGGAUGAUCAGCCACACUGGAACUGAGACACGGUCCAGACUCCUACGGGAGGCAGCAGUGGGGAAUAUUGGACAAUGGGCGCAAGCCUGAUCCAGCCAUACCGCGUGGGUGAAGAAGGCCUUCGGGUUGUAAAGCCCUUUUGUUGGGAAAGAAAUCCUGUCGAUUAAUACUCGGUGGGGAUGACGGUACCCAAAGAAUAAGCACCGGCUAACUUCGUGCCAGCAGCCGCGGUAAUACGAAGGGUGCAAGCGUUACUCGGAAUUACUGGGCGUAAAGCGUGCGUAGGUGGUGGUUUAAGUCUGCUGUGAAAGCCCUGGGCUCAACCUGGGAAUUGCAGUGGAUACUGGAUCACUAGAGUGUGGUAGAGGGAUGCGGAAUUUCUGGUGUAGCAGUGAAAUGCGUAGAGAUCAGAAGGAACAUCCGUGGCGAAGGCGGCAUCCUGGGCCAACACUGACACUGAGGCACGAAAGCGUGGGGAGCAAACAGGAUUAGAUACCCUGGUAGUCCACGCCCUAAACGAUGCGAACUGGAUGUUGGGUGCAACUUGGCACCCAGUAUCGAAGCUAACGCGUUAAGUUCGCCGCCUGGGGAGUACGGUCGCAAGACUGAAACUCAAAGGAAUUGACGGGGGCCCGCACAAGCGGUGGAGUAUGUGGUUUAAUUCGAUGCAACGCGAAGAACCUUUACCUGGGCUUGACAUCCACGGAACUUUCCAGAGAUGGAUUGGUUGCCUUCGGGAACCGUGAGACAGGUGCUGCAUGGCCUGUCGUCAGCUCGUUGUCGUGAGAAUGUGGUUAAGUCCCGCAACGAAGCGGCAACCCUUGUCCUUAGUGCCAAGCACGUAAUUGUGGGGAACUCUAGGGGAGAACCGCCGGUGGAACAAACCGGAA